rnacentral:rRNA from 1 species
AUUGAACGCUGGCGGCAGGCCUAACACAUGCAAGUCGAACGAGUGGCGGACGGGUGAGUAAUGUCUGGGAAACUGCCUGAUGGAGGGGGAUAACUACUGGAAACGGUAGCUAAUACCGCAUACCAUCGGAUGUGCCCAGAUGGGAUUAGCUAGUAGGUGGGGUAAAGGCUCACCUAGGCGACGAUACCUAGCUGGUCUGAGAGGAUGACCAGCCACACGGGAACGGAGACACGGGCCAGAAUCCGACGGGAGGCAGCAGUGGGGAAUAUUGCACAAUGGGCGCAAGCCUGAUGCAGCCAUGCCGCGGGAAUGAAGAAGGCCUUCGGGUUGUAAAGUACUUUCAGCGGGGAGGCGUUACCCAAAGAAGAAGCACCGGCUAACUCCGUGCCAGCAGCCGCGGUAAUAA